GACACCCACAACAUCUGACAUCUUAGUGAAGACAAUACAAAAAACACCCACAAAUAUUUUUCAAAGAUCAGAUAUUUUUUGUUGCAUCCAUUUCAAAUGUUUACAAGGAUUGUGCAGGAGUAUGACAAAAGUGCUGUUGUCAGUUUAGAACCCAAUGUAUUGAAAAAACAGGAAGAGGAUCGACAUCCUUUUGUAAAUAUGACUGUCAUGCAUAUAUUAGGUAUUUGAAAGUAAUUAUUCAACUGUCUUCUCACUGCAGCAACUACACAACUGUGUAUGCACUUAUCAAUAUUGAUAGCCAGUCUGAGCCAGAAGACACAAUGGAGCAAAGCACAGAAUACCUGACUGCGGCACACAUUGUUGCAGAACUCUCUGCAAAAAUAACAAAUACAUCUUGCAGCAGGUUCAAUAUUAAUAGAGCCAGUGUGUGCGAUGGAGCAAUCCGCGGCUUCAAAGGUGCCUCAUUCGAUCCCUCUCAUGAGAUGUCAGUUAAGUUCACUGAUGAUGAGGGACACACUGAGGAUGGAGGGGACAAUGGUGGUCCCAAGCGUGAGUUCCUGACCCUCCUUAUGGAACGCCUGAGAAUGAAGAAAACAUCACGUCAGCAACUGUUUGUGCCCCAUGGCGGUGUGACUUUCCCAGCCGCUCACUGUCUCAAAAUCUGAUUCUAAAUAUAUAAUGUUCUCUAUAAAGAUAUAACUAAUACACAAUUAUGAAUGUAUAAUAUAAGCUGUUUUGUGUAUUUAAUCAUGCAUUGGUCUACAAUUUAAUGAUGGCUUCUACAUAUUUCACAUAAACAGACAAUGAAAAAAUGUGUCCUUCAUGCUGAUAACUAGUGUAUGCAUCUGCCAAUUCGUAUUCUAAACAGAGUAGUGUGUUGAAUCCUUAUUUCUUGCAUUUGAAACAGAUACAAUACAAAAAGUGAACUUACUGUUGUGUUCAACUUCUGCCAAAAACUGUACAUGUUUGCCACAGGAGCCACAGAACACUUGAACUGUCCCCAGAUGCUGGCCACAGAAAGGCCUGAAAAGACAUACAUUGAUGUAGUAAAUCCAUUUAAUCAAGUUAAUCAAAAACACAUAGUCUAAAUAGUGGUUAGCUAAAUAAAUAGAAAGAUACAUCAUG